CAGCAGCCGCGGUAAUACGUAGGGUGCGAGCGUUAAUCGGAAUUACUGGGCGUAAGGCGUGCGUAGGCGGUGAGUUAAGUCUGCUGUGAAAUCCCCGGGCUCAACCUGGGAAUGGCAGUGGAUACUGGCUCGCUAGAGUGUGUCAGAGGAUGGUGGAAUUCCCGGUGUAGCGGUGAAAUGCGUAGAGAUCGGGAGGAACAUCAGUGGCGAAGGCGGCCAUCUGGGACAACACUGACGCUGAGGCACGAAAGCGUGGGGAGCAAACAGGAUUAGAUACCCCCGUAGUCCCUGUCUCUUAUAC
rnacentral:rRNA from 1 species